rnacentral:rRNA from 1 species
AUGGAGCAUAGUGCUCAGCUUCUGACGCCAACACUGUCAAGGCCCAAGCUCACCACCAACGGCGACGAGCUCCCCGAAGCUGUCGUCCUCGAGGAUGCGGGUGCCGCCAUGGCCGGCUUUGUGGGCCUCCUCCGCCAGCUCGGCUUUGAAAUUGCGCUCGCCGCAGAGGUGUUCCACGGCCUGCACAACCAGGCCACGGCGGUGUCCACUCGGGCGAUCGGCCUCACGGUGGGGGCGCAGCGGAUCGAGGCGCAGCUGCCGCUCAUCGAGGAACGUUUCCGCCGUCGUCGGAGUGCACGGCCCUGCUUCCUGCAGCAGCAGGACGUCGCCGUUGCCUGCAGCAAUUCAGUCUUGUCGUCAGGCAUUCGGUCAGAAGGUUUGUGUGGUGUCGCAGGCCACGGCGUGGAUCGGCGCCGCCCGAGUGCCUGGCUGGUGAACCACAGCGUGAUUGUGGUGGGAGGAACGAAGUCUCGUUCCAUGGCGGAGCACAUCCGGCGGUGCCGCGGGCCUCCACAGCUGUCCCUGCUUGACAAGUAUGAUACUUGUGGCGAGGGGGCGUGCCUGAAGCGAUACACAGACCCGUCCUUCUUCAGAGCCCAGUCUGCCAAGCAUGAGCUUUUCUUGCAGGAAGCCAAACCAAAGCUUCAGAGUUCACACAAAUGCUCCAAAUUCAAAACAGACGCGUUGCUCGAUACGCUCCGGCAACUGAAAUAUCGACACAUCAUCGGAAGAAUCAGGCGUCAAAUGCACAGCUCUCACAAUCAGGAUUCGCCAGAAGAUGAAGCAUCCGAAGCACACGUUUUGUCUCCAUCGGAUUCGCCUGAAACAUCAAAUACCAAAGUGCCAUGCCCUUCGGUACCAGUGAACAAGGAGAGGAGCAGUGUCCUCGUCCAGAGGACCAGUUCGUUCGGGGCAUGGCUCUCUCCGGAUGCAGCUUCUACUCAUGCGUCUGACAUCAUACAAGAAACCAAUGCUGAUGGAUUUGCCAGCCAUGGCGCAAACAAGGCCGAUGAGAAUGCCAACAUUGCGACAAAUGCUCGUAGCGCCCUUAUCGACUUCAUCGCCUCAAGGGUCGAAAGCUCGCCGAGGAAGCUCUCUGUCAGGAAGCAUAGUGAUCCUUUAACGGAAUCCUUCCGGAACAUGGCUAAGAAGGUGCUGCUUGAGAAUGAAUCAGCACAUUCUUCACAACGAACCAGUGAAUUCUGA